rnacentral:rRNA from 1 species
GACGAACGCUGGCGGCGUGCUUAACACAUGCAAGUCGAACGGAAAGGCCCUGCUUGCGUGGUACUCUAGUGGCGCACGGGUGAGUAACACGUGUGUGAUCUCCCCUGUACAUCGGGGUAAGCUUUGGAGACUCGGUCUAAUACCGCGUAUGGGCGCACCUUCUUGUUUGUGGUGGAUGGUUUUUUUGGUGUAGUAUGAGCUCGCGGCCUAUCAGCUAGUUGGUGGGGUAGUGGCGUACCAAGGCGGCGACGGGGAGCCGGCCUGGGAGGGUGUACGGCCACAUUGGGACUGAGAUACGGCCCCGACUCCUACGGGGGGCAGCAGUGGGGAAUAUUGCACAAUGGGGGCAAGCCUGAUGUAGAGACGCCGCGUGGGGGAUGAAGGCCUUCGGGUUGUAAACUCCUUUCGCUAGGGACGAAGCUUUGUUGUGACGGUACCUAGAUAAGAAGCACCGGCUAACUACGUG